rnacentral:rRNA from 1 species
UACAGAGGGUGCGAGCGUUAAUCGGAAUUACUGGGCGUAAAGGGCGCGUAGGCGGCCUGCUAAGUCGAACGUGAAAUCCCCGGGCUCAACCCGGGAACUGCGUCCGAGACUGGCGGGCUUGAAUUCGGGAGAGGGAUGCGGAAUUCCAGGUGUAGCGGUGAAAUGCGUAGAUAUCAGGAGGAACACCUGCGGUGUAGACGGCUUACUGGACCAUCACUGACGCUGAGGCACGAAAGCGUGGGUAGCAAACAGG